ensembl:lincRNA 5830416I19Rik RIKEN cDNA 5830416I19 gene
CACCCAUUAUUCUGCCGGGAGGGUUGAAAGAAGAUGGAGAAAUGGCGACUCCGUUUCCAGCCGUGGCCAGUAGGCCAAGACAGCAAGCUGUUCGGUCUAUACAGCACGGUUGACAGUACAAGCGGCAACCUGGAGACGUCCCACCCAGUCAUCUUUCACCACUUCUCCAAGAGUGAUGGUAGUGCGCCUUCGUGUGAGCACAUUUUGUUUCAGAGGAUGCUGUCACCUUAAGCUCCCAGCAUCCCUGGAGGCGGACAUUUCACUUGAGGACACUGAUUCAGAGAUCUCUGGUUCUGCAGAACUCCUCCCCUCCCCCAGUCCUCUUCCUUGUUCCUCCCCUGUCUUCUAUAUAAGAGAGUCUUAAGGGCCCUACCUGGCCCUCAAACCCCAAAGCUAAAGGCAGAGCUAAGCAGGUGGGAAGGGCUUAACAGAAAUGCAAAGCCUUUGUUUCACCUUCCCUGCAGCUAACAGCAAAGUCUUCCUGACACUGUCCCGCCCACAUGCUGGAGCCAGGAGUCUGGAGCCUCAAGGUCCACGGCUACCUCCGUUCUUAGAGCCCUCAGGCAGAGAGCUGGGAAGACUUUCUCAGCCUCAUGGGACCCAGGGAGGUCAAUGGUGGUCAAAGGCUUUUUCCACUGAAUCACAGGACUCUGGUUGAAGGGCGUUUGCAAGUAGGGAAGCAAGAAUUUGGCACCGGCAUUCUUCAGGUGGUUUCUCCGAGUGCCAACCUGUACCUAUUCCUGAGAAGCCAUAUGAUUUCUGGUUAUAUUAUUACAUAAUUCCAUGGUGAGUCUUAUUUAUGCUCUAUCACUAAGUUUGUAAUAGAUUAAACUAAAACUCACCUUCAUUUCUGGGAAAGCCAUUUGCUCAGAGUUCUUUAAUUAACACAUCAAACAAAAGGAAGGCCACUGACUACAAGAAGGACAGACUGGGGUUGCAGUCAGUCCUGACUGAACCUGGUAUUCAUCUCAGGCAGUUUCCCAGACAUGCAGUCAUUGAUUUUUAACUCAAAAGAUUGCUGGUAGCCUCUCUCAUACAGCAUGUCCAUCCAGGGGGUUCCACCAAGUCUUCUCUUUCUGUUGCCUUGCCUGGGGUUCUAAGGACUCUCUUAGCCUUGCCUGAAACACUCACUUUGUCUCAAGUGUCUGCUCUGGACAGGACAGAAGGUUACAAUCUCCCUGACAAACUCAUUUCUUUGUUAUUCAAAUUAGUUGCUUUAAAAUCCUUUAAUCACCCAUCUCCCUUUAAGAGUCCCCCCCCCCACACACACACACACACUGUCUUUUUCUCUCUUCUUUCCUCCCACCCUUCUCGUCCUACAUGAUCUUUCUCUCUAGCCCCUGCUGACCUUUAACUCACUAUCUACCUGCCUGAGUCGAGGUGUCGGACUUAUAGGCAGGUCCCACCAUAUUUGGGUUCCAGAAUUCAUCUUCUUUCAACGGAGACUUUCAAAACUGCCCAGCUUGUACUGAGCUCUGUGCUAGGGGUUGAUGGGAGCAAAGAUGAAGCAAGCAAGCCACAGGCCUCUCAAAGCUCAAUGCAGGUACCUUGUGCCCUCUCCUCCUUCAGAUCUGCAUUGAGCUUCCCCAGCUCUCCCGGGGGAUCACCUCAGCCAGGUUAAGGUACCUGCAGAACUCCUGGUGUGCACCCUUUGUAUCGAUAUUUUGGUCCUCAGGCUGCUUCUGUCACCAUUUGUGUGUAUGGACAAUCUGUGUAACUUGAUUGUUAAGUGUAUGAAGUGGCUCUAGUCUUGCUGUUUUGCCUGAUCAGGAAUAAUUGGCACUCAGUAAAAAAAAAAAAAAAAAAAAAAAAAAAAAACGGCAUUCACCUGCCGGAUGUGAGAAGCAAUCCAGGACCUUGGGGGCAAGAGGAUUGCCUCAGCUUUGGGACGACCUUGGGCUACAUAGUGAGUUCUAGUGACUCCAUAGCCUGUCCAGGGUACAGAGUGAGACCCCCAUCUCAAAAAGUUGAAGGGGUAUGGGAAACCAACAAAAAAUAUUUACCAUUUAUUGAAUGCUUAAUUUUGAGGCAAAGCGGUUUUUCAGUGCCAUCAAAGAAGCCAAGUGCAUCAUCUGCUUUUCUUUUUUUUUUUAUUUUUAUUUUCUGUAUUCUGAUGUUUGGACAUUUGAGGCAUCGCUGACCUUCAUUGACUCCUCCCACAAUGAGCCCAUGACUACAAAUAGUCAACAUUUGCCUGGAGUUGGCCGUUACCCUCAUUGUUCCUAGGACAGAAACCAAAGGACUUGAUCCUUUGAGCCCACUGCAAUCUGUCAACCUAGCCAAUAGGAAAGCUGCUUUCUGGCCUCCCAUUCACUCCUAAAGUCAUCCCCCUGCCUCCUCUCUAAGUGUGGGGCUUCUGCUAAUUCAGUCUAUCCUCUUCUGGAUGCUCCCCUCUUCCUGGGAACUGUGAAUGACAACUAUCAGUGACAGGCAUCUCCCAUGGAUAGCACGUUUUUUUUGUGUUAAUACGCUAACGAUACUUUAAAGCAAUAAGGAAACUGUCAGCUUUUUCCCCAGGAGGGAGAGUAUAUGGAAAACUGAAUAAUGUCAUUUUAUGUUUGGAAAAACAGUUGUAAUUAUUUUAUGACUUUAAAUAAAGUGAAAUAUUACUCUC